AUACCGUAAUGAGGGCACUUUUGUAACAACUCCUUGAACCACUCCCAUGCCUCAUAUAAAGAUUCUUCAUCAAGUGGCUGAAAUGAAGUGAUUCCAUUACGGAUCUU
rfam:Gossypium hirsutum cultivar TM-1 chromosome 5, whole genome shotgun sequence